ACACAAUACAUUGUGUUACUCUACACUUCCUCCCCCUUAAGAAAUCAAACUAUUUUGUGCAAUCUCCACUUUUAUGUCAUUUCUUUGCGAGCCACGCAUACAGUUGCAGAGCUCCUUAUCAAACACAUCUCCAGGGGGAGAGAAAGUGAGAAGAAGGGAAUAAGUGGUGAGCAAAACAGGAAAUCGGAGAGAGAAGGAGCUGGAGAGAGACUAGAGGAAACAGGCAAGGGCUAGGUAUGCCUGUGAAGGUGUGUAUUAACUAUUAAAACCCCCAUCACGAGGUGAGACUGGAUGCCAAUGGAGCUGCUGAAGGAAUGGCUGGGCCAUCCGGUGGAGCUCUACAACCUUGUGAAGUUCAAAAUGGGAGGCUAUAAGGCAGUGAUGCCCAAAGUGGACCAGAACUCACUCAGUGACGGCCUCCGCACUUGCUUCAAGCACCUCAAUCAGACCAGCCGGAGUUUCGCCGCCGUCAUCCAAAGCCUUGAUGGAGAGUUGCGCAAUGUGGUGUGCAUCUUCUACUUGGUUAUCCGAGCUCUGGACACGGUUGAGGACGACAUGACCAUCAGCCUAGAAACCAAAAUCUCCAUGUUACAGAAUUUCCACUCCUUCCUGUACCAGCCAGACUGGAAAUUCACUGAGAGUAAGGACAGGUACAGGCAGGUACUGGAGGACUUCCCAAUGAUCUCCUCAGAGUUUCGGAACUUGCCAAAGGUCUAUCAGGAUUUCACUGUCGAAGUUUGCCGCAAAAUGAGCCUUGGGAUGGUUGAGUUUCUGGAAAAGAAAGUGGAUUCCAAGCAGGAUUGGAACAGGUAUUGCCAUUAUAUUUUGGGGGUGGUGUGGAUCAGCUUGUCGCGGCUGUUCUCUGUAUCCAAGCUGGAAGAUCCCAUUGUUGGACAAGACAUGGAGCUCGCCACCUCCGUGGGCCUCUUCCUGCAGAAAACCAACAUCAUUCGAGACUACCUGGAGGACCAAUUGGAAGGCAGAGAAUUUUGGCCCAGAGAGGUUUGGAAUAAGUAUGUGAAGAAGUUGUCUGAUUUGGCCAAGCCAGAGAAUAUUGAAGGGGCUGUUCAGUGCAUGAACGAGCUCAUCACUAACACGCUCCAUCAUGUUCCGGAUGUCUUGAUCUACUUAUCCCGGCUGAAAAACCAGAGUGUGUUCAAUUUCUGUGCAAUUCCACAGGUGAUGGGCAUUGCCACUUUGGCAGCCUGCUACAACAACAAGCAGGUUUUCCGGGGUGUGGUGAAGAUCCGCAAGGGACAAGCCAUCACCCUGAUGAUGGAUGCCACCAACAUGGAUGCUGUGAAAGCCAUCACGUACCAGUACAUGGAAGAGAUCUACCAGAAGAUCCCAAGCACCGAUCCUUCUUCCGGCAGAACUCAACAGAUCAUUGCUUCCAUCCGAUCCCUGAGCGUGCCCAGUGGUUCCCUGCUCUCCCGGAUGCAUUACUCCCCCAUCUAUUUGUCGUGUGCCAUGGUGUUAGCUGCCUUGAGCUGGCAGUAUCUGAGCACAGUCUUGAAAACAACAGAGGAAUACGUUCACACGGGCGAGAACUGAGUAGGGAGCUCUGUAGUUGCUUCCCUUUCUGAGAACUGUUCCCCCCACUCUUCUUUGUGUGUGCGUUUGUGUGUGUGUGUGUGUGUGUUGGGGGCCUGUUGGAUUCGCAGGACUGCAGGGAACAGGACUCCAAUUUCAGUUACAAGCCAGCUGGGCUUGGAAGCCAUAACCUAGAAAUACCUUCUGGAUUUUGAAGCAUCUAAUCCAUAGCUGUUUCCAAACGUGGACCCUUCUUUUGUUUUGGAUGAACUGAUUACAAACAAGUCUGUUCUGAGUCUUACUUUAUAUAUUUUUCUCUUUAUUGCAGCCUGUUUUGGUGUACGCUUUGGAUAUAUGUUGCUUUUUUAUUAGAGGCAUCUUUGCUGCUUGUGAAUAUUGACAGUAAAAAAAGUGUGAGAUAAAACAGCACUCUUCUUA